AGAGUUUGAUCCUGGCUCAGGAUGAACGCUGGCGGUAUGCCUAACACAUGCAAGUCGAACGAUGUCUUCGGACAUAGUGGCGGACGGGUGAGUAACGCGUGAGAAUCUGCCUCUAGGAUGGGGAUAACGGUUGGAAACGACCGCUAACACCCAAUAUGCCGUAAGGUGAAAAAUUUAUUGCCUGGAGAGGAGCUCGCGUCUGAUUAGCUAGUUGGUGGGGUAAGAGCUCACCAAGGCCUCGAUCAGUAGCUGGUCUGAGAGGAUGAGCAGCCACACUGGGACUGAGACACGGCCCAGACUCCUACGGGAGGCAGCAGUGGGGAAUUUUCCGCAAUGGGCGAAAGCCUGACGGAGCAAUACCGCGUGAGGGAGGAAUGCCUUUGGGUUGUAAACCUCUUUUCUCAGGGAAGAAGAUCUGACGGUACCUGAGGAAUAAGUAUCGGCUAACUCCGUGCCAGCAGCCGCGGUAAUACGGAGGAUGCAAGCGUUAUCCGGAAUUAUUGGGCGUAAAGCGUCCGCAGGUGGUUUCCAAAGUCUGCUGUUAAAGACUGGAGCUCAACUCCGGAACGGCGGUGGAAACUUGGAAACUAGAGUUCGGUAGGGGUAGCAGGAAUUCCCAGUGUAGCGGUGAAAUGCGUAGAUAUUGGGAAGAACAUCGGUGGCGAAGGCGUGCUACUGGACCGUAACUGACACUCAGGGACGAAAGCUAGGGGAGCGAAAGGGAUUAGAUACCCCUGUAGUCCUAGCUGUAAACGAUGGAAACUAGGUGUGGCUUGUAUCGA
rnacentral:rRNA from 1 species